UGUGAGCGUGAUGAGUUGCACACUGGUGGGGCCAUGGUAUCAGGUGAUACAGGCCCCACUCAGUACCACCCUGGUGACACAACCAAGUGCACAGGGGCCAUCUGACUCACA
rnacentral:snoRNA from 1 species